CCUAACACAUGCAAGUCGAACGGUAACAGGAAGAAGCUUGCCUCUUUGCUGACGAGUGGCGGACGGGUGAGUAAUGUCUGGGAAACUGCCUGAUGGAGGGGGAUAACUACUGGAAACGGUAGCUAAUACCGCAUAACGUCGCAAAACCAAAGAGGGGGACCUUCGGGCCUCUUGCCAUCGGAUGUGCCCAGAUGGGAUUAGCUAGUAGGUGGGGUAACGGCUCACCUAGGCGACGAUCCCUAGCUGGUCUGAGAGGAUGACCAGCCACACUGGAACUGAGACACGGUCCAGACUCCUACGGGAGGCAGCAGUGGGGAAUAUUGCACAAUGGGCGCAAGCCUGAUGCAGCCAUGCCGCGUGUAUGAAGAAGGCCUUCGGGU
rnacentral:rRNA from 1 species